rnacentral:sRNA from 1 species
GCACUGGCAAAAUCCGGUGCCGGGCGUAGGAACCCGCAUCCCCACCACAAGGCAUAAUAAAUGUCAGUUUAUACUGGUAUUUU